rnacentral:rRNA from 1 species
AACGAACGCUGGCGGCAUGCCUAACACAUGCAAGUCGAACGAUGCUUUCGGGCAUAGUGGCGCACGGGUGCGUAACGCGUGGGAAUCUGCCCUUGGGUUCGGAAUAACAGUGAGAAAUUGCUGCUAAUACCGGAUGAUGUCUUCGGACCAAAGAUUUAUCGCCCAGGGAUGAGCCCGCGUAGGAUUAGCUAGUUGGUGGGGUAAUGGCCUACCAAGGCGACGAUCCUUAGCUGGUCUGAGAGGAUGAUCAGCCACACUGGGACUGAGACACGGCCCAGACUCCUACGGGAGGCAGCAGUGGGGAAUAUUGGACAAUGGGCGCAAGGCUGAUCCAGCAAUGCCGCGUGAGUGAUGAAGGCCUUAGGGUUGUAAAGCUCUUUUAGCCGGGAUGAUAAUGACAGUACCGGGAGAAUAAGCUCCGGCUAACUCCGUG